rnacentral:rRNA from 1 species
UACGUAGGGCGCAAGCGUUGUCCGGAAUUAUUGGGCGUAAAGAGCUCGUAGGCGGCUUGUUGCGUCGGUUGUGAAAGCCCGGGGCUUAACCCCGGGUCUGCAGUCGAUACGGGCAGGCUAGAGUGUGGUAGGGGAGAUCGGAAUUCCUGGUGUAGCGGUGAAAUGCGCAGAUAUCAGGAGGAACACCGGUGGCGAAGGCAGGUCUCUGGGCCACUACUGACGCUGAGAAGCGAAAGCAUGGGGAGCGAACAGG